rnacentral:rRNA from 1 species
CCCUUAGAUGUCCUGGGCCGCACGCGCGCUACACUGACAUGUUCAACAAGCCUCCCAGUUCGACAGGAUUUGGGAAAUCUUUGAACGCAUGUCGUGAUAGGGAUAGAUCAUUGCAAUUAUUGAUCUUGAACGAGGAAUUCCUAGUAAACGCGAGUCAUCAGCUCGCAUUGAUUACGUCCCUGCCCUUUGUACACACCGCCCGUCGCACCUACCGAUUGAAUGUUUCGGUGAAGAUUCCGGAUAGGACUUUUUUGAUUUAUUUCAAUUUUGUCUUAAAAGCUAUCUAAACCUCAACAUUUAGAGGAAGGUGAAGUCGUAACA